UACGUAGGUGGCAAGCGUUGUCCGGAUUUACUGGGCGUAAAGAGCGCGCAGGCGGUCGAUCAAGUCGAGUGUGAAAGCCCCCGGCUCAACUGGGGAGGGUCAUUCGAUACUGAUCGACUCGAAGGCAGGAGAGGGUAGUGGAAUUCCCGGUGUAGUGGUGAAAUGCGUAGAUAUCGGGAGGAACACCAGUGGCGAAGGCGACUACCUGGCCUGUUCUUGACGCUGAGGCGCGAAAGCCAGGGGAGCAAACGGG
rnacentral:rRNA from 1 species